UAGGGAAUCUUCCACAAUGGACGCAAGUCUGAUGGAGCAACGCCGCGUGAGUGAAGAAGGUCUUCGGAUCGUAAAGCUCUGUUGUUGGUGAAGAAGGAUAGAGGCAGUAACUGGUCUUUAUUUGACGGUAAUCAACCAGAAAGUCACGGCUAACUACGUGCCAGCAGCCGCGGUAAUACGUAGGUGGCAAGCGUUGUCCGGAUUUAUUGGGCGUAAAGCGAGCGCAGGCGGAAUGAUAAGUCUGAUGUGAAAGCCCACGGCUCAACCGUGGAACUGCAUCGGAAACUGUCAUUCUUGAGUGCAGAAGAGGAGAGUGGAACUCCAUGUGUAGCGGUGGAAUGCGUAGAUAUAUGGAAGAACACCAGUGGCGAAGGCGGCUCUCUGGUCUGCAACUGACGCUGAGGCUCGAAAGCAUGGGUAGCGAACAGGAUUAGAUACCCUGGUAGUCCAUGCCGUAAACGAUGAGCGCUAGGUGUUGGGGACU
rnacentral:rRNA from 1 species